CGUAAGUAUAUAAAUAGGCGUGUUUUCUGCUAAACAGUAUAGUCGUUUUUCAGAACUUGAGUUGUCCAUUGACUUGAAAAAUUAAGUUUCUAAGAAAAAAGUAUGAAUACGUUCGGAGUUUUUACGGUUUUGUUGGUCGCACUUUUGUGUGUCAAUGUUAUCCAAGUUCAAGCGGGCUUAUUAAGUGCAUUGGGACUGGGACCAGUAUCAGUUUUACUUAGACCAGUGCUGAUGGUCGUAAGUGGGCUGUUGAAAAUGUUGGGGUUGAUCCCGGUGGCAAAUCUUGUGGAUAGCUUAUCAACAGUUCUCGGAUGAAGUCAGUGAGAUGGCAGUUUUUAAAUGUUUCGCGAGUCGCGACAUCAUAAAUUUAGUUUUAAAAUAAUAAAUUAUACCUAAUCAUAUUGACUUAUUUAGUUGUCUGAAGUUACAGAUUUUAUAAAUUUAGAUAAAUAGGUAUAUAGCUUAUACCUCAAUAGUAAUUAGCAUAAAUAAUGAAAUUAUACGAUAAAUAACUAUUUUUGUGCAGCCAAUAAAUAUAUCUACCAAAGUA